UGACCCUCCUCCAAAAUGCAUCUCCCUCAUCCAUUUUUCUUUAAACAUUAGCACAGCGUUUCCCAUCCCUCUGAUUCCUCAAUUCAUCAUCGUCCACCUGUGCCCUAAAUCGAUCAUAACAAUUAGCCUUUGCCCCAAUUCUAUCCCACUGCCACUCUCAAUAGUAGAAACUCCUUCCCAAUUUGCGAAUCUCGGUUCUCAGUCAUGUUUAGAAUCUCACCUUUUCAUCAUUUUCACCUAGUAUCACUGUGCCUAUGGUUUCUGUAUUUUGCUGGAAUCACCGUGCCUCCAGCUACACGAUCUGCCUAGGGUUUAUCUCCACAACGACUAGCGUGCCACAGAUUUCUCAGGUUUCUUCCUUUCUACGCUUAGCCUAGGGUUUCUCUCCUCACAACGACUAGCGUGCCACACAGAUUUCUCAUUGGCAGGCAAAAGACUCGUAUAUAAACAAAGGAUGGUGUGGUGAUCUUUACCUUCAAGCAACGAACCUGGAAUUUGGAAAAAUACAAAAGAAUACGUGCGAACCCGAGAGAGAACAAUCAAUGAAUAACUUAUAUUACAAGUGUAAGCACUAGUAUUUCCUCUCAUAGAUUUACUACCAUGAUUGUUAAGUAUAAGCUGAGAGGUAAAAUUAGGAGCUUCAAAUUGGUUAGGGUUUUCUCCCAAUAUGUAUACUGUGUAAGUUGUAAAUCUUUGAACUUGUAAAUCCUAAUGAUUUUGGAAUGAUAUUCAAUUGGGCUUGUUGGCUGUCGCGCUCAUGCCCUUUAAUAGGUUUGACCCAUUUUCUGGGCAUUGGGUUAAUUAGUCUAGAACACAUUUAAUUGAUGAUGAAAUGUGUAAAUUGUAAUGAAGGUCCAUUGAACUGGACAAAUAGGACAAACUAUGUUAUAUUCAGCAGUUAUUAGGUGUAUUGACAGGAUAUAUAUGAUUAACUUAUUCUUUUGCUUUUAUCA